rnacentral:misc_RNA from 1 species
AAAAAAUUGCAGAUGAUUCAAAGGCUGUUAGAAUGGGACAUGCCAUUCCUGCUCCAGGAAGCAAUGGAGUUGCUGGUGCUGGUAUUGUGAAGAAGAUGAGCAUAAGGAGGUCAACUAGACUUACUAGACAGGAUGUUAGAGGACUUAGUGGGACACACAGAAAAAUGCUGUUCCCUUAUGAAGAAUUUGUUGAGAUAUUUAACUGUGAGGCUGUUAUCUUAUCACCUAGGGGACUUGUAAAUUGUGGAAACAGGUAUUGUAAUCAUUACUUUUGUCUUUUAUUUCAGUAAUUGCAAAUUUAGGAGUAGGGUGCAGAAUAUAAGAAAUUAUGUUUUUCUGAGAUGACAUAUUUAGAAUAACAUAAGAACUAAUUUUUUUUUUGGCAUAUGUAGUUUAUUUCAUUUGUAGAUGAGAACAACACAAUAAGAAUUUGUAAUGUGGAUUAUAGAAGGCAGCUAAUGUCAUGGUGAUGUGUAUCUGUGAACAUCAUGCACAACGACUGGGGAAAACUUGAUAUUACCCCGAAAGCUAGCUUAAAGGGGGGAGGAAUAUCUAAGGCCUUAUAAGGGAUAUAUUACCUCUAUGCCAAACCAAUGUAUGAUAUUACCUCUAUCCUAAACAUUAAUUGGAGACGCUUUGAUACCAUCUUAAAAAAAUGGAUCGAGCUUAACUUACCCCAAAAGCUAGCUCAGGGGAAGGACUGCCAAAAGCUUUAAUAAGAUGCACAUUACCUCUAUUCCAAAUCAAUUUAUGAUAUUAACACACCCUUUCACACUCAGGAUCAAACACUUGGAGCGUGAAAUUUCUAGGCUAACACAUUUGGCCCAACAUUGAAAUAGGGUGAGCUCUGAUACUAUGUAGAGAAAAUGAACUGAGCCUAACUCUAUCACAAAAGUUAGCUCAAAGGGGGAGGAGUGUCUAAAACCUUAUAAGAGAUACAUUACCCUUAUCCUAAACUAAUGUGGGAUAUUAACACACCCCCUUACAUCCAUAAUCAAAUACUUGGAGUGUGAAACACUUAUGAGAGGUCAAAACUCUGAUACCAUCUUAAGAAUACGGGUCAGGCUUAACUCACCCCCAAAAGUUAGCUCAAGGGGGAGGAGUGCCAAAAGCUUCAAUAACGGCACAUUACCUCAAUUACAAACCAAUAUAUGAUAUUAAGAGACUUAAAAUAUUAGACCAACAACUAAUAUAUUUGAAUAGACAUAUAAGUGGAACUCAUAAAGGACUAGAAAGUGCCCUAUAAUAUCCCAAACAAAAUCUAGACUGUAAUUCUAAAUUUCUUCAAUUUCUUGUUAUCUACAUUGGGAAAGUAACCACUCAAUGCCUAUUUAACUCUUUGAAAUUGAGAGCCAGGCUAUGGAAUUUGUGGCUUCUGUUUCUUCCUGCAAUAUAACUUUAUGGGUGAAACAUUUUUAUUGAUCACAGUUCCUAUCUUGCAGUUGUUAUGCCAAUGCUGUCCUUCAAUGUUUAACCUGCACAAAGCCACUGAUCAUCUUCUUGCUUCGUAGAUCACAUUCAAGAUCCU